UAUAUUUGUUUUGAAAAAAUACUUUCAUAAAAGUAUACAUAUCCCACUUUUUGAUAAAUAUUUUUAUAAAAUCAAGGAGUCAAAGUUAGGCUUUGGAGACCGUGUCGUUGUCCUAAACGACUUCCUUUAUGGGUAUGAAGGGAGUAUAUUUUAGCUUACCUUUUCUUGUAGAAGAAACAUAGAAUUAGAAAGUUCACCUGAAUACAUCUUCAUAGGUUGGUGGACAAUUUUAUUGCUUAAAAAAAAUGUUCAAAAUAAGCCUGAUCCAUCAUUCAUGAAAUAUUUUGGACAGCAGGAAUGACCUGAUAGAUCAGAUAGAAGGCAAGGUAGUACUACAUUGCAGAUUUUGCAGUGCCCGGCAAUCCUGUCAAUAUCACGCACAUUUUCAUUUCCUGUGUGAAACUCAAUGAUCACAUGGUUUUGGUUUUCCUGACAAAGUUGUAAUUAUACUGGCUGGUGGCUACAGCCUUUCAAACUGAAAUCAUUUUUUGGAGCGUCCUCACUUGUGACUAGGAAUACUGCAACUCUAAGGUGGCGACCACUCUGAAGAGAGCAGCUGACAUCUUCAGGUAACUAAAAAAAAAUGAUUAUUCAGUUAUAUUUUGCCACUUGGUAGUUUCUUGAACAAUUAUCUUCAAACAUGCUCCACAGUUUCUAUUGACUGUUCAUUUUCCUUAAGUAUUUCAGGAGUUCAUGGCGUUUUUUAUGGUGACAUUGAAAAUAUGCACUUGCAUUCUUACGAACAUGUUGGUACAACGCAAGUUGUCCAGAAUCUGGAGCAUAGUCUGUACCAAAUAACUUAAUAUUCAUGGGUUCAUUAUUUAUAUUUCAGGUCAUAAUCUUUACUCGGUAACUCAAUAUGCAUGCGUUCAUUAUUCAUAUUUUAUAUAUGUGUCAACAUUCAUAGGUGGUUCAACCAGAAAAUACAAUGUAUACUACCAUCUUAUUGAUAAUUGAAACUUGUACAUAAACUCUCUUGCUCUAUCUUAAUUGAAAGGCAGAGCUCCUGCCAUUAUGUCAAAAAAAUGAAAAUAUGAUUUAGGCACUAGAAUUUUUUCCAUCUGAUGUGCAGCAUAAAAGAAACUCAAUGAAGACAAUCCCCAAUCACAAGAUCUGAGUUGUGAAACAAAGUUCCUCCUGAGUUAGUUUCAGACCUAUGGUGGUGGACAUGAACCUAGAUUGACACAUGUCGAAUAUCAGCUGAAACGAUCUACAGUGUUAUACUAAAAAAAACUGUAGCGAUUCUUGUAUUGGAUUGCUCAACUUUCCAUUCAGUUAUUUGAUCCCUUCUGCUGCAGCUAUCACUAACUGAAUGAAAAUCGCAGGUAAAUGGCAACUUUCUGAAUGUGUUUUUAAAUUUUUCUGAGUUCUAGGUUCUUUCUUCAGGUGGACGAAAAAAGCCAAAUUGACUGAAAUCUCAGGUGAAGGGCAAUUUUCUGAAAGCCUGCUUGGUGGCACGCCAUCUCUGGCUCUGCCAAGCGCCAACAGAUUCGGCACCGGGGCCGGAGGAGAAGCACUUCUGUGCGUUUGGAGGAGAAGCACUUCUGCGCAUUUGGAGGAGCGGGGGACCUUCUCGCGUGCGGAUGUGAAGCCACGAUUUGCUGCUCCGGCGAAGAAGCCUGCGGAUGUGAAGUCGUGCCAAAAGACACCCAUGUCUCACUACUAUGUCCCAGUGAUAAUUGUUUGGAGAGAGACGGAUAGGCGAAACAGAAUUAUAAACUCAACUCAAACAAUAGAAUCACAAUUGUGACAAUUAUGCUUAUAUUUUAUAUGAUAUAUGUUGACUUCUCCAAAGAUUCAUUUUUAUUAUUAUUGUUUGAUUAUAAAGGUUGUUUUGAUA